rnacentral:tRNA from 3 species
GGUCCCGUAGCAUAGUGGCUAUGCAGAGGUCUGCAAAACCUCGUACGGCGGUUCGAUUCCGCCCGGGACCU